GAUGAACGCUAGCGGCAGGCCUAACACAUGCAAGUCGAGGGGUAGAAGGAGCUUGCUCCUUUGAGACCGGCGCACAGGUGCGUAACGCGUAUGCAAUCUACCUUGUACAGGGGAAUAGCCCAGAGAAAUUUGGAUUAAUGCCCCAUAGUAUAUAACCUUCGCAUGUUGGUUAUAUUAAAGUUCCAACGGUACAAGAUGAGCAUGCGUCCCAUUAGUUAGUUGGUAAGGUAACGGCUUACCAAGACGAUGAUGGGUAGGGGUCCUGAGAGGGAGAUCCCCCACACUGGUACUGAGACACGGACCAGACUCCUACGGGAGGCGGCAGUGAGGAAUAUUGGUCAAUGGUCGCAAGACUGAACCAGCCAUGCCGCGUGCAGGAAGACGGUCCUAUGGAUUGUAAACUGCUUUUAUACAGGAAGAAACCCUCCCACGUGUGGGAGCUUGACGGUACUGUAGGAAUAAGGAUCGGCUAACUCCGUG
rnacentral:rRNA from 1 species